GUGUGCGUGUGUAAAGCAUCAACAGCAAGGGACAAGUGGAGACUCCCCAACAUUUUUAGGUGAGCAGGAGCUAAAACGUCCAUGGGAGUUAAAGCACUCACUUCAUACGCCUUGAAGGAAAAUACAGAAUUGGGAUUGAUUUUCUUUC